AUUGAACGCUGGCGGCAGGCCUAACACAUGCAAGUCGAACGAGUGGCGGACGGGUGAGUAAUGUCUGGGAAACUGCCUGAUGGAGGGGGAUAACUACUGGAAACGGUAGCUAAUACCGCAUACCAUCGGAUGUGCCCAGAUGGGAUUAGCUAGUAGGUGGGGUAAAGGCUCACCUAGGCGACGCUCCCUAGCUGGUCUGAGAGGAUGACCAGCCACACUGGAGGUGAUCCACGGUCCAUACUCCUACGGUAGGCAGCAGUGGUGAAUAUUGCACAGUGGGCGCAAGCCUGAUGCAGCCAUGCCGCGUGUAUGAAGAAGGCCUUCGGGUUGUAAAGUACUUUCAGCGGGGAGGCGUUACCCGCAGAAGAAGCACCGGCUAACUCCGUGCCAGCAGCCGCGGUAAUAC
rnacentral:rRNA from 1 species